rnacentral:lncRNA from 1 species
UUAGAGAGUAUUUAGGGUGAUUGAUCUAUCCAAAAUGGAUGUUUAGCAGUUUUGGAUGUUUAGCAGGCUACACAAACUUAUGUAGUUAAAAGGCUAAGGGUUUUAGGCAUGGGAAAUAACCACAAGGCCCCUAGUUAAUGCUGAAAAUUUAACCUAUCCACCGGUACGACUUACCAUGUACUCUCUUAAGUAAUCAUACCCUAGGGUAUGAGUGGUACCCUUACUCAUACCCUAG